GUGACUCAGAAAACCCCGAUACCUCACAAAU
rnacentral:piRNA from 1 species